CCGGAAGCAGCGGCCUUCUCCUCACGGCGCCAGCGGCCGCGGGGACCACCGCCAUAUUGGAUCACGGAGCCGCAGCGGACAGAAUCAGUUUCAAAAGGACCUUGAUAAAUCUGCUUCCCUAGAAAGCUGCUUCUAAGCAAGUCAACUUCAGCAACAGCCGCACACACCAGCAAAAGCAACAACUUUCAUUUUGCAACGUGUAUGACCUUUGGGCAGUCACUUCAACUCAUUGUGCCAGCUUCCUUAUAAUAGAGGCACUAUUUGGGCAGGAAGACUAUUGAUACAGCAUCAGAAGAUACCAGAAAUCCACAUUCAGAUGUCCUGCUGAAAAAACUCCCAGGGUUCUCCCAAAGCAGUAAGGCUGAUUGUACAACAUGCCAGAAUUAACAUGCCAA